rnacentral:rRNA from 1 species
GAUGAACGCUAGCGGCAGGCUUAAUACAUGCAAGUCGUGGGGCAGCGCAGGUAGCAAUGCUGGGCGGCGACCGGCAAACGGGUGCGGAACACGUACACAACCUUCCUACAAGUGGGGAAUAGCCCAGAGAAAUUUGGAUUAAUACCCCGUAACAUAUAGAUGUGGCAUCACAACUAUAUUAUAGCUUCGGCGCUUGUUGAUGGGUGGUGCGGCUGAUAGAUAGUUGGCGGGGGUAACGGCCCACCAAGUCUACGAUCAGUAGCUGAUGUGAGAGCAUGAUCAGCCACACGGGCACUGAGACACGGGCCCGACUCCUACGGGAGGCAGCAGUAAGGAAUAUUGGUCAAUGGACGCAAGUCUGAACCAGCCAUGCCGCGUGAAGGAUU